rnacentral:rRNA from 1 species
UACAGAGGGGGCAAGCGUUGUUCGGAAUUACUGGGCGUAAAGGGCGCGUAGGCGGCCUGCUAAGUCGAACGUGAAAUCCCUGGGCUCAACCCAGGAACUGCGUCCGAUACUGGUUGGCUUGAAUCCGGGAGAGGGAUGUGGAAUUCCAGGUGUAGCGGUGAAAUGCGUAGAUAUCUGGAGGAACACCGGUGGCGAAGGCGGCAUCCUGGACCAACACUGACGCUGAGGAGCGAAAGCCAGGGGAGCAAACGGG